rnacentral:lncRNA from 1 species
GGCGUAGGGGAAGGAAGGGUCUACCGUGCUAACGAUCUGUACUUCACGCUCGGGAGCAGAGGGCAGAAACAGAGGCAAGCAGAAUCCUGCAAUGGCUGCCAGUUUGCAAGGAGUGACCAGGAGUGGGAAGGCACGCACAGUCCCACCAGCUGACAAAGCAGAGAGGGGCAGUGCACAGGAAGAUCUGAAACAAGGUCAGUGCCCUUGGGCUCUUGGCUCUGACUGGCCCACCAAGCCCCUGCCUUCUGGUGUGACACAGCUUUCCAAGGUCACUUCUCCUUCUGCUUACCCUCCCCGUGUCCCUCACGCUGCAUCCUCUUGCAAGGGCAAAAAUUAAAUACAGAGAUCCAAGUUUCUCA